UCGUUUCCUUUGAUACUUUGGUGGC
rnacentral:piRNA from 1 species